rnacentral:rRNA from 1 species
AACGAACGCUGGCGGCAGGCUUAACACAUGCAAGUCGAGCGCCCCGCAAGGGGAGCGGCAGACGGGUGAGUAACGCGUGGGAAUCUACCCAUCUCUACGGAAUAACGCAUGGAAACGUGUGCUAAUACCGUGUACGUCCUUCGGGAGAAAGAUUUAUCGGAGAUGGAUGAGCCCGCGUUGGAUUAGCUAGUUGGUGGGGUAAAGGCCUACCAAGGCGACGAUCCGUAGCUGGUCUGAGAGGGUGAUCAGCCACACUGGGACUGAGACACGGCCCAGACUCCUACGGGAGGCAGCAGUGGGGAAUAUUGGACAAUGGGCGCAAGCCUGAUCCAGCCAUGCCGCGUGAGUGAUGAAGGCCCUAGGGUUGUAAAGCUCUUUCACCGGUGAAGAUAAUGACGGUAACCGGAGAAGAAGCCCCGGCUAACUUCGUGCCAGCCGCCGCCGUAACAC